UACGUAGGGUGCGAGCGUUAAUCGGAAUUACUGGGCGUAAAGCGUGCGCAGGCGGCUUUUUAAGCCAGACGUGAAAUCCCCGGGCUUAACCUGGGAAUGGCGUUUGGAACUGGAAGGCUAGAGUGUGUCAGAGGGGGGUGGAAUUCCACGUGUAGCAGUGAAAUGCGUAGAUAUGUGGAGGAACACCGAUGGCGAAGGCAGCCCCCUGGGAUAACACUGACGCUCAUGCACGAAAGCGUGGGGAGCAAACAGG
rnacentral:rRNA from 1 species